rnacentral:misc_RNA from 1 species
GAGGCUUGGAUUUGGAGUGUGCUGGUCCUUCCCUGGGUCGGCUCCUCUUUAAAUGCAUCAGCGGAGUCUUCUUUGACUUCCGGUAUCAGUGUGAUAAUCAUGUUGCGCUGUUGGCCGAGGUCUUAGUCCGCUUACAAUGGUCUUCGGACAACUUAUCAAAUUUUGACCUCAAAUCAGGUAGGAUUACCCGCUGAACUUAA